GGUGUGUAGCUCAGUGGUAGAGCACUUACCUACCAUGAACAAGGCCUUGGGUUCAAUUUCCAGCACCA
rnacentral:tRNA from 1 species